GACGCGGCCGCCCGCCCCGACGACCUGUUCACCUUCGGCGCCCCCCGCCAACGACGCCGUCGCGCGUCGAUCGUCGUCGUGCUCGCAAGAUAAUUAACGCAAUACGCAGACCGGUCAGAAAUAAUAACAAUAAAUAAAUAUUCGUUGACGGCGCAAUAAUAUCAUGACACUAUUGAUAGUUAUGUAACAAUCGUAUUCCCGAUAUUAUUUCCCCAUUAGCAAUAAUAAAAAACGCAAAGUUGUAAUACAUUCGGAUAAAAGACAUUUCGACGUUUCAGAAGGGACGCGUGCGUUUUAAAGGGAAAACGGCGCGACAAACGUUUCGUAAUGGUAACGGUAGUAAUAAAAGUGUAGGUAGCUACCUUUAUUAUCGAACAGUAGGCGACAAGAAAACUAGAUUACAAUAAUACGCGUGUUAAUAUUUCGAACGAAUGUUCACCGUUCCAAACAAUGAUAAUCUAAUAAUAUAAUUAAAUCGUACAAAAAGGUGAUUGAACUUUCCGGACGAUAAAUCCGUAGUAUCUAGAAACGGGAGCUGCAGUAGUACCUGGUAGUAGUAGUAGUAGUAGUAGUAGUAAUAGUAAUAGUAAUAAUAGUAGUAAGUAAAUAAUCCAAAUAUAACAGUGUUCUAUAAUCUACGCGUCGUUUUUAUUGUCAAGAUAAGGAAUCGCGUG